rnacentral:rRNA from 1 species
GUCCACGCCUUAAACGUUGAAUACUCGAUGUGUGCGAUAUACUGUACGCGUCUAAGCUAAAGUGAUAAGUAUUCCACCUGGGGAGUACGCUCGCAAGAGUGAAACUCAAAGUAAUUGACGGGGGCCCGCACAAGCGGAGGAGCAUGUGGUUUAAUUCGAUGAUACGCGAGGAACCUUACCUGGGCUUGAAAGUUAGUGACCGACUGUGAAAGCAGUUUUUCCGCAAGGACACGAAACUAGGUGCUGCAUGGCUGUCGU